rnacentral:lncRNA from 1 species
GCUACACCUGGCAUACUGGGAGUUGUCGUCUUUGAUUAGCUUCCAGUUUUUUAAUUGCAGGGCGACCGGAUUACAAUCACAGCCAGCAUGAACAUGGGGCGGCGCACAGUCCUGAAGAGGAAAGCCGGGCUGUGUUGACCUCGCUGUGCAUGCUGGGAGUUGUAGUCUCUUCACUGCUCCCGCCCGUUGUUUCAGGCACUUCGGGACUACAAUCCCAGCAUGACCCGGGCUCGGGGACGGGGCGCAGUUCUCGUGGGAGGAGCGGGGCGGUGAGAGCCUGGCUAGGCAGGCUGGAAACAGUAGCUCUUAACGGUCCCCCGCCCGUUGGUGGCAAGGCGGCUGGACUGGAAUCCCAGCAGGCGACAUGCGAGGAGGCGGGCAGCCCAGGAGGGUUGGACACGGCAAUGUGGACCUCGCCGCUUCCACAACGAUGCUGGCUACUGAUCGCGUGCACUUCCUUGCCAAAGAAAAUUUGUGCUGUGCACUAACAUGCAAUACAAAUACUGAUGAAAAUAAAACUAUUGCCCUCCUACCAAAUGAGAAAUUAAUGUUAUGACUGGAUGAAGACAAUUGUGAAGAAACUGCACUUUGAGGUUGUCUAUCUCUGUAUUCUGAUGGAAAAGCGUGGAGUUUAGAAGCACUGCUCACUCCUUCAGUUUCUAACAAGUUUGAGACUAUGGUUAGGUGGUGAGGAAGGCAGGCUCAGCACCCAAGCCUUGGGGAGACGCAGAAAGGGCCCAUCCCAGGCACUCAGGUGGAGCAGGUGGUCUGUCCUAGAGAACGUUCCAUGUGGAUUUGAGAAGAAUAUAUAUUCUCAUGUUGGAUGCAGUGCUGUGCAUAUGUUUGUUAGGUUUAGUUGUUUUAUGUUGUUGUUCAUGUUUUCUAUUUUUUAUCUUCUGUCUACUUGUUCUAUCCAUUAAUAUAAGUGAAGCAUUAAAGUCUCCAACUAUUACUGUUGAAUUAUCUAUUUCUCCCUUUAUUUCUGUCAUUUUUGCUUCAUGUAUUUCUGUGCUUAUUUGAUAACUGCAUAUAUGUGAAUAAUUUUUUUAUAUUUUCCUGAUGAGUUUACCCUUUGCCAAUACAAAAUGUCUUUAUCAGUAUAUAUUUUUUUGUUUUGUUUCAUUUUGUUUUUUGAGACAAGAGUCUUGCUCUGUCACCCAGGCUGGAGUGCAGUGGCACAAUCUUGGCUCACUGCAACCUCCGCCUCCUGGUUCAAGUGAUUCUCCUGUCUCAGCCUCUUGAGUAGCUGGAAUUACAGAUACCUGCCACCAUGCCUGGCUAAUUUUUGUAUUUUUAGUAGAGACAGGGUUUCACCAUGUUGGCCAGGCUGGUCUUGAACUCCUGACCUCAAGUGAUCCACCUGCCUUGGCAUCCCAAAGUGCUGGGAUCACAGGCAUGAG